AUGAACGCUGGCGGCGUGCCUAAUACAUGCAAGUCGAGCGAUCUACUUCACCAGUGAGUGGCGGACGGGUGAGUAACACGUAGGUAACCUGCCCCGGAGCGGGGGAUAACAUUUGGAAACAGAUGCUAAUACCGCAUAACAACAAAAGCCACAUGGCUUUUGUUUGAAAGAUGGCUUUGGCUAUCACUCUGGGAUGGACCUGCGGUGCAUUAGCUAGUUGGUAAGGUAACGGCUUACCAAGGCGAUGAUGCAUAGCCGAGUUGAGAGACUGAUCGGCCACAAUGGAACUGAGACACGGUCCAUACUCCUACGGGAGGCAGCAGUAGGGAAUCUUCCACAAUGGGCGCAAGCCUGAUGGAGCAACACCGCGUGAGUGAAGAAGGGUUUCGGCUCGUAAAGCUCUGUUGUUGGAGAAGAACGUGCGUGAGAGUAACUGUUCACGCAGUGACGGUAUCCAACCAGAAAGUCACGGCUAACUACGUGCC
rnacentral:rRNA from 1 species